UACUACCUAAAAUGCUGGUAUCGGUAUCGGAAAGUACUGGAGUUUAUGCACCGAUCUGAUACCGAUACCACAUAAUUAAGCCCUGAAGAAAAUUGACUUUAAAGUAGUUUAUUUCUGUUCUUUUUCCGUUAUGACUGAAUGUCACAACUGGAG